CAGCAGUAAACAAAAGAGGCCCUGAUUUUAUAGAUCUUACAUUCAGUAAAAGAAAAAGACAACAAAGAGAUAUGUAAUUUGAUGCUAAGAAGUGAUAAAUGUGCUCAAGACAAAUAAGGCAGGGGCCGCUCCAGUGGCGCAGCAGUUAAAUUAGCACGUUCCACUUCAGUGGCCUGGGGUUUGCUGGUUCAGAUCUCAGGUGCAGACCUACACACUGCUUGUCAAGCCAUGCUGUGGCAAGUGUCCCACAUAUAGAGUAGAGGAAGAUGGGCACGGAUGGCUAAUGUCCCUCAAAAGAAAAAAAAAAAGAAAAGAAAAGAAAAGAAAAAGAAGGCAGUACAAAGGGAUGGAGACCAAUGGAUGCUUUUUAAGAUAAAAUGCUUAGGGAGAGUAUUUUUGUUUUGACUUUGGGGGUGGUCUUUGGGAGGUUUUGUGUUUAUUUUUGUUUUGAGGAGGUGCUAUCUCAGCAGAGAUUUGAAUAAAAUGAGAAGGAGCCAUGUGACUAUCUGGUGGAAGGCAUUCCAAUCUUGGGUCUAUGAGAGGAGGUAACCAACAUGACGGUAAAGAACCUCAAUAAGGAAGCGUAGUGGAUGGUAGAAUCUAUGGCAGGAUUCUCAGUCUUGUUACUAUUGACAUCUGAGGCCUGGUACCUCUUUGUUGUGUGAGGCUGUCCUGGAAGUUGUAGGAUGUUUAGCAGCACCCCUGGUUUCUGCCCACUAGAUGGCAGUAGCAUCCCUCCCACCCCCACCCCCCCACUUCCCAGCUGUCACAUCCAAAAAUAUCUCCAGACAUUGCCGAUGUCUACUGGGGGCAAAAUUCCCCUGGUGGAAAGCUACUGGUCCAAGGCAGCAGAUGUCCAACCUAAUGGCAUGUAUUUCACAUUAUCUGGAUCUGUUUAAGGCAAAGGAUAAACAACAGUCAAAUUUCAGCCAGAAGUGCAAAGUGGAUAAAUAUUCCACCCACCAAUGGGAUGUGGAUGGAGAAACACACCCCACUUGCUUUGGAGGGAAAACCGAAUCUUCAGG
rnacentral:lncRNA from 1 species